rnacentral:rRNA from 1 species
UACGGAGGGUCCGAGCGUUAAUCGGAAUUACUGGGCGUAAAGCGUGCGCAGGCGGUUUGUUAAGCCAGAUGUGAAAUCCCCCGGGCUCAACCUGGGAAUUGCAUUUGGAACUGGCGAACUAGAGUCUUGUAGAGGGGGGUAGAAUUCCAGGUGUAGCGGUGAAAUGCGUAGAUAUCUGGAGGAAUACCGGUGGCGAAGGCGGCCCCCUGGACAAAGACUGACGCUCAUGCACGAAAGCGUGGGGAGCAAACAGGAUUAGAUACCCGCGUAGU